rnacentral:tRNA from 1 species
CACCCAGUGGCUUAAUGGUCUACGAGCCAGUUCGCCUUGUAACCAGAAGGUCCUGGGUUCGAACCCCAGCGGGGUGG